UACGUAGGGACCGAGCGUUGUCCGGAAUCAUUGGGCGUAAAGAGCGUGUAGGCGGCCACUUAAGUCCUGCGUGAAAUCUUGCGGCUCAACCGCAAGCGGUCGUGGGAAACUGGGUGGCUAGAGUGCGGGAGAGGAGAGUGGAAUUCCUGGUGUAGCGGUGGAAUGCGCAGAUAUCAGGAAGAACACCCGUGGCGAAGGCGGCUCACUGGGGACGGUACUGACGCUGAGGCACGAAAGCGUGGGGGAGCAAAACGGG
rnacentral:rRNA from 1 species